rnacentral:rRNA from 1 species
AUUGAACGCUGGCGGCAUGCUUUACACAUGCAAGUCGAACGGCAGCACGGGUGCUUGCACCUGGUGGCGAGUGGCGAACGGGUGAGUAAUAUAUCGGAACGUGCCCUAGAGUGGGGGACAACCAGUCGAAAGAUUGGCUAAUACCGCAUACGAUCUAAGGAUGAAAGUGGGGGACCUUCGGGCCUCGUGCUCCUGGAGCGGCCGAUAUCUGAUUAGCUAGUUGGUGGGGUAAAGGCCGACCAAGGCGACGAUCAGUAGCUGGUCUGAGAGGACGAUCAGCCACACUGGGACUGAGACACGGCCCAGACUCCUACGGGAGGCAGCAGUGGGGAAUUUUGGACAAUGGGGGCAACCCUGAUCCAGCAAUGCCGCGUGAGUGAAGAAGGCCUUCGGGUUGUAAAGCUCUUUUGUCAGGGAAGAAAUUGCCUGGGUUAAUACCCUGGGUAGAUGACGGUACCUGAAGAAUAAGCACCGGCUAACUACGUGCCAGCCGCCGCCGUAA